CCCUUAGAUGUCCGGGGCUGCACGCGCGCUACACUGAAGGAAUCAGCGUGCUAAAACCAUUGUCGAAAGGCAUUGGUAAACCCAUUAAAAUCCUACGUGAUUGGGAUCGGGAAUUGCAAUUAUUUCCCUUGAACGAGGAAUUCCCAGUAAGUGUGGGUCAUAAGCUCGCGUUGAUUACGUCCCUGCCCUUUGUACACACCGCCCGUCGCUGCCCGGGACUGAGCCGUUUCGAGAAAAGCGGGGACUGCUGCUGUCGGGGCUUUCGGGCCUUGGCUUCAGUGGAAACCGCUUUAAUCGCAGUGGCUUGAACCGGGCAAAAGUCGUAACA
rnacentral:rRNA from 1 species